rnacentral:rRNA from 1 species
GCUUGUCUCAAAGAUUAAGCCAUGCAUGUAUAAGUAUAAACGCUUUAAGCGUGAAACUGCGUACGGCUCAUUACAACAGCAAUAAUUUACUUGAUCUUGACAACCUACAUGGAUAACUGUGGUAAUUCUAGAGCUAAUACAUGCACCAAAGCUCCGACCCGCGAGGGGAGAGCGCAUUUAUUAGAACAAAACCAAGCGGCUUCGGCCGUCCAUUGUUGACUCAGAAUAACUAAGCUGAUCGUACGGUCUUGUACCGACGACGUGUCUUUCAAGUUUCUGCCUUAUCAACUUUCGAUGGUAGUGUAUCUGACUACCAUGGUGGUGACGGGUAACGGAGGAUAAGGGUUCGACUCCGGAGAAGGGGCCUGAGAAAUGGCCACUACGUCUAAGGAUGGCAGCAGGCGCGCAAAUUACCCACUCUCAAUGCGAGGAGGUAGUGACGAGAAAUAACGAGGCCGUUCUCUUUGAGGCCGGUCAUCGGAAUGGGUACAAUUUAAACCCUUUAACGAGUAUCUAUGAGAGGGCAAGUCUGGUGCCAGCAGCCGCGGUAAUUCCAGCUCUCAAAAUGCAUAGAAUUAUUGCUGCGGUUAAAAAGCUCGUAGUUGGAUCUGUGCCUGUGCUCUGGUCCACCUCGCGGUGCGCACUGGGUGCCACAGGCUUUCCUGCAGUGUUCAGCCCCGGCGCCUUCACCGGCACCGGUGUGUUGAUGCUGCAAGUUUACUUUGAACAAAUCGGAGUGCUCCAAACAGGCGUUUGCUUGAACGUUCGUGCAUGGAAUAAUAGAAGAGGAUUUCGGUUCAAUUUUAUUGGUUUUAUUGGCCGAGAUAAUGGUUAACAGAGACAAACGGGGGCAUUUGUAUUGCUGCGUGAGAGGUGAAAUUCUUGGACC